GUACUCAUUUUGGCAGCACAUACACUAAAAUUGGAACUAUACAGAGAAGAAUAGAAUGGCCCCUGCACAAGGAUGACAUACAAAUUAAUGAAGCAUUACAUAUUUUU
rnacentral:snRNA from 1 species